AUGUCGGCCAUCUUGAAUCGGCCAUCUUACCCCGCCCGCUCCCCCAGCGUCUUCCCGCUCCUCUCCUGCGGCGACCGCGAGGGCCAGGUGAGCUUCGGCUGCCUGGCCGACGGCUUCUUCCCGCAGCCGGCCCAGAUCACCUGGGUGGGCGUGGCCUCGGGCGCCGCCCGGAACUUUCCGGAAGUCCAGACGGGCGUCGGCCGCUUCGGGCGGAGCUCCCAGGUGACGCUGAGCGCCGAGGAGGCCAAGAAGGGGAACUUCCGGUGCCAGGUGGAGCAAGGGGGGAAGAACGUGGAGCUGGAGAUCCCGGAUGCCUGCCCUGACCACGCCCCCCCCGAGCUCUCGGUGUCCCUCCUGAGCGACCCCAACCAAUCAGAGCCCGAGGUCCUCCUCCUCUGCCAGGUGCGUGGGCGUGGCUCCGCCGAGGCCCGCCUCACCUGGUUGGUCAACGGUGACGUCACCGAGAUGGGGGAGGAGCCAAGCAGCUGCCAGGAGGGCGGGGCCGGCCAGGUGACGCUGAGCGGGCGGGCCAACGUCAGCCGGGAAUUGUGGGAGCUGGGCGCCACCUUCACCUGCCGGGUGAGCCACGCCCACCUGGCCACGCCCCUGCAGGCCAACAUCAGCACCUUCUGCAAAU